GGUAUAAAUCGUUUCAAAGGCUUCUUGACAGUUUUACGACCCAACAGUGUCAUUCUGAAGGACCUACUAGUGGAGCCAUUUCUUUGAAACUUUAAAAUGUAAAUGCUGAAGGAGAUACCACCUCUAUCUAUCUUACAGUCUCUAGGAGAGAGUAGGAAUCUAAGGUGGACCCUUUGUUCCAAAGUGUGAAAUUACAUUCUGUCAUGGAGAGAAAAGUUGCAGCGAAGUGCAAAUUAUCAGGCUGAAGAUAAAUUAAGAAGCACUGGCACCUUCACUGAUCUUCAAACUAAGAACUGCCCAUAAAGUGGUGCUGCCAAGAUUGGAUUUCUCCUGCAUGCUCCUUCAGUGAUUUUUAUAUUUUAAUAAGACUGUUCAUUAUAGUUAGCUCCUCAUGUUGGAGCCAUUAGAUAUUUGUGGGAAAUAACAUAUCAUUAUCUCAGUUGCAUUCUGAGCCAUUUGGGAUGCUUUUAAGUUAGAAUGAUUUUUUUCUUGUCUUAAUUUUACACACACUAGUGCCUACAUGCUUGUUCAGCUUAUUUCUGUCUUCAGGUUCUUUGAUCCUAUUUUUCAACUUUAUUGUGUUAAAGUGGCUGAUGAACAGUGUCACUAACUGCUAGAUAGGAGUAGCCUCAAAUUCAGUUAAUUCAAAAAUUUACUGUCUUGAGAGAGGGGUUGACAUUCUAAGUCCUUUAUUUAUUCCAUCUCUCUCUCUCACCUAAAAUUCCAUCAGGAAACAUUCACACACAUCUCUGUAUCUCUUCAAAUUUAGCAUUAGGGAUCUAAGCAUGGAAACAAUGAUUUUGACAUUACAUGACCAUAAGAACCAAGGAUAUUAAGAGGAAUGCUUAGAGCAUAUAAAGGCAAAAAGCAAACAUAACAUACACUCAACAAUUAGUGAGCAAUCAAACCAAACGCAGAUCUAGUGCAACUGAGUAAUUUUCAGUGGUGAAAUGUGAACCUAUAGAAGGUUCUAAGUUAUAUUUGUGAUUUCCAUGUAAUAAAGUGUAUAUUAAGUUUAGAUUGGGAUUUAGCAAAGCUAUGUAGUUAUUCUUGUAACUAUUCAAGUUUGGGAUGGGGGGUGGAUAAAGAUUAACUAUGCAGCAAAAUCCUGUCUUCUCUCUUAUUAUUUGUUCACCAAAAAGAUCUAUGAUCUGAACUGUUUUAAAUUUUUAUUUGCUAUCGCAUCUGGUGUGGUGAGAACCCUCAUAGAAUCCAGAAGUUUUUAAACUCAUACAUGGUAUUUUAUUUCAUAUUCCUUCUUUAUGUUUAUUUUGAAGGCUAGCCUAGAAUUGUUUAUUCAGUAAAUUAAUAUUUAUUGUGCAUAUACUGUUUCCAAGUAUUGAGCACUAGGAAUGCAUAUAUUAAAUAUAGAAUUAAUCUCUACCCCAAGGACUUCGCAAACAAGUACAUAUAUGCGUGUGUAAUCAUUCGUUUUAUUUAUUACUAAAUUGCCAGUGAGAGAAAUUUUAGGAUGUUGACUUUAUACACAGUUAACAUUCCCAUCUUCCUCAAAUUUAGAUCUUGAUGUAGGAUUACUAAGUUCUGCAGUUGCCAAAUACAUUAUACAACCAGAAAAACAAUAUUACUUUUUGAGAUGAAUAUCAUUUUAUAAUAAUAGGCAUUAUGAAACUAAAAAUGAAGAAAAUGUCUUAAUUCCAAAAGACUAUCUUACAAGCAAUAUGUUUAGUUUUCCAAUAAUUGACUAUAUUCCUCUGAUGUGGUUCAUCUCACUAUGGACGGUGAAAACUUUGUCAUGGCUUUUGCAAAACAGUUUUAUUUGGGA
rnacentral:lncRNA from 1 species